rnacentral:rRNA from 1 species
UACGAAGGGGGCUAGCGUUGUUCGGAAUCACUGGGCGUAAAGGGCGCGUAGGCGGCUGUUCAAGUCGGGGGUGAAAUCCCGUGGCUCAACCACGGAAUGGCCUUCGAUACUGGACGGCUAGAGACCGGAAGAGGUGAGUGGAACUGCGAGUGUAGAGGUGAAAUUCGUAGAUAUUCGCAAGAACACCAGUGGCGAAGGCGGCUCACUGGUCCGGUUCUGACGCUGAGGCGCGGAAGCGUGGGGAGCAAACAGG